AUUGAACGCUGGCGGCAGGCCUAACACAUGCAAGUCGAGCGAGCGGCGGACGGGUGAGUAAUGUAUGGGGACUGCCCGAUAGAGGGGGAUAACACUUGGAAACAGGUGCUAAUACCGCAUACUAUCGGAUAACCCAUAUGGGAUUAGCUAGUAGGUGGGGUAAAGGCUCACCUAGGCGACGAUCUCUAGCUGGUCUGAGAGGAUGAGCAGCCACACCUGAACGGAGACACGGCCCGGACUCCGACGGAAGCAGCAGUGGGUAAUAUUGCACAAUGGGCGCAAGCCUGAUGCAGCCAUGCCGCGUAUAUGAAGAAGGCCUUAGGGUUGUAAAGUACUUUCAGCGGGGAGGCGUUACCCGCAGAAGAAGCACCGGCUAACUCCGUGCCAGCAGCCGCGGUAAUUC
rnacentral:rRNA from 1 species